UCAGGGUGACUAUUAAAACUUCGGUGUGACUUGAAACAGUUUCAUUUUAUAUUAAUCAUAUUAAUAUCACAUCGAUUUAUACUAUCGAGAAUUAGUAAUUAGCGAACCGUUCUUCGAUUAUAAUUUUCUUUAUUGUGUGUUUGUGAUACAAAAUUGUAAUAUAUAAUAUUUGAAGUUAAAAUAAAACACAAGACAACUAGUGGCGACGGUCCAUAUGGAAUGUUGGGCUAUUCAAUACAUAUAUACAUACGAUUUACGCAUAAAUAUAUAUAUACGCACUCCUUACAUACACACGCGACACGUGCAACACAUAAACAAUAUUCAACACCUCUCCGUUCAGAUAUUUAAGAAAAACAACAUAACCAAUUAUCAGCGGCACCAGAUGACACCGUAUAUUAUAAAACCAUAAAUGCAUUUUUACGUAUAUAAUAUACACAUAUAUAUUAUAUUCUACGAGACCCCCUCUAUAAUUUUCCAAUCAAGACGUUCGGUCAAAACAAAACAAUAAAUUACCAGUCACACCUUUGUCACACCGCCUAAAAUAAGAAAAAAACAUCACGUAUUAAUCAAUGCAUAUCAGAAGAAGGGAUUACACCGGAGCCACAUUAUAUAAGGACCCUACAGAAUCGACUCGCCGAACAGUUUUUUUACAAGACCACCCGAUGCACAACGUCCACGCCAGUCAGCGUCACGAUACAUUUUCUUUGCUGUUCAAGAGGAGUAUCCACCAACAUCAACUCAGACGUAUAUGUAUAUUGAAUCAUUUCAGCAUUCGGUAUGACCACAUAAUUAAUUAUCCCUUAUUGCUCACCAAAUUCACUUAGUAAUUUCUUUUAAUUUAUCUAUAUAAAUAUUCCCCUACUAUACAACUCUUGUGACUAUUGUCGUGUAAUAGCGUGCUACUAUAAUUUAAUCAUUAUUAGAUCGUAAUUACGUUUACUUAUUUAGGAUAUAUGAACAUAAUUUUAAGUGCUCAAUAACUUAAAUUACAUUCGGUUGUCCGUCGACUGUGUACGACUGCUGCGAGUGUAGGGAUUUCUAAGAGCAAAAACCUAGUUUAUAAUAUUAUUAUAAGUAUUACGUAAUUACGUUCAUUUAUUUGGAAUACAUAAGCACAAUUUUAAAUGCUCAAUAACUUAAAUUACAUUCGGUUAACCGUCGACUGUGUACGACUGCUGCGAGUGUAGGGAUUUCUAAGAGCAUACGAUAACAGUCACAAUCACAAUAGCUAAAACACGGGUUCUUAUUACAACAUACAACGAGGCUCUAGAAAGGAGCGUCACACAUAUAAGAUUUUAUACGCCUUACGAGUCAAAAUACAUAUAUUGUCGCCGUGAUAUCGACCGUCGAACACUACCCCGGAGGAACAUAAACAAGAUGCAGACAAUCAUUACAAAAACCGUCGCAUAAGGUAACUGUCCCCUGCGGGCUACGACUACAUCACUCACCGGCGGCGCCGAAAGUCUCUUGAGGGUCGGGCCUGACAUGUCAACCGGAACGGCGUCGAUCCUAUUCGGAAAUGUUCGGCGCGCCUGCCGUACGAAGUACUAGCCGAGGAACAGUCAAUAGCGUGAAGACGCAAACUCGACGGACGGACGGACGGACGGACGAACAGUAUUAUUAAUAUUAUAAUAUCGUGUGCAAAAAAAAUUCGUCUGGACUGCGCCGGACAGCCGGAUCGGGGGAAA
rnacentral:lncRNA from 1 species